UGGAUGAAGGAGACUAUUGGUGGCAUAUGAGUGAUACAAGAUGAAUAUGUGUCUGGAACUCUGAGGUCCAG